rnacentral:rRNA from 1 species
GAUCCUGGCUCAGGAUGAACGCUAGCGACAGGCUUAACACAUGCAAGUCGAGGGGCAGCAUAAAAGUAGCAAUACUUUGGUGGCGACCGGCGCACGGGUGAGUAACGCGUAUGCAACCUACCUAUCAGAGGGGAAUAACCCGGCGAAAGUCGGACUAAUACCGCAUAAAACAGGGGCACCGCAUGGUGAUAUUUGUUAAAGAAAUUCGCUGAUAGAUGGGCAUGCGUUCCAUUAGGUAGUUGGUGAGGUAACGGCUCACCAAGCCGACGAUGGAUAGGGGAACUGAGAGGUUGGUCCCCCACACUGGUACUGAGACACGGACCAGACUCCUACGGGAGGCAGCAGUGAGGAAUAUUGGUCAAUGGGCGAGAGCCUGAACCAGCCAAGUCGCGUGAGGGAAAGAAGGAUCUAUGGUUCGUAAACUUCUUUUGCAGGGGAAUAAAGUGCAGGACGUGUCCUGUUUUGUAUGUACCCUGAGAAUAAGGAUCGGCUAACUCCGUGCCAGCAGCAGC